UGAGUGGCGUAGGCUGACCCAUCCCCAUCACACAGCGGGCGACAUCUGCCAUCAAUGCGGCCCUCCACAGCCUACCCCGCUCGCAUUCAUUGCACAUCUUGUCCUCAUACCUCUCCUUUCCAACACCUAAUUAAUGGCGCGCCCAUACGUGCCUGAUGCUGGCUCCAAACCCCGACCCUUUUCAUCCCUCCCUCCCUCCCUCGUCGUCUCCUGACUUUGCUCGCCGGCCGCCCCGCCCACACCCUCCUCCUGCGCUACCACUGUCAGCAAGUGCACACCCUUCGAGGACAGCUGCUGUCGCCGCCAAGGCCGCAACCGGCCGUCGCUCCAUGCUGCGGUAGAAUUUAGAAACGAGAAGGGAGAUGGCGGCCGAGGCGCUGGGGUUCAUGGCGCGGGGAGCCAACGGUGGGAGGGCGGCGGAGCUCGUCACAAGGGACUUUCUCGGCGGGUGCGCCGCCACCGGCGACGCCAGGGACGCGUCCGCCAGGAAUGGCACCGUGCCCGGGAGGGUGGCUCAGCAGAAGCACGCGUGCCCGGCAACGCCGAUGGACCUCAACCUGUUAACAAUAAAACUCUUUCAUACCUCUCUUCAUUAAAUUGGUAUAUCAUAUCAUCUUGGUUUGCUUACAUGUCAUUGUAUUUAAUGAGAAUGAAAUUUAGGUGACAUACCCACUAAGAAUGGUCUUAUUCAUUUCCAGCCAGCUAAAAAAAACAAAUGUACACUUAAUGCAAAUUAACGUUGUCAGCUUACUACUUUGAACCCAAGAUUAAAAAAUGUUUUUAAUUGACAAGCUAAGGGUCCCUUUGGUUAGAUGGAAUAAUCUUUAGUUCCUGGUUUUUAGUCCAGUUUAAUUUCUAUUUUGCUAAACAGAAGGGCUAAUAUAUAGACUAAUGACACUUCGCUGACAUUUUUUGAUAUUUAUGCCCUCUUUUUCCAUUUAUUGGGUAGCAUUUGUAAUGUUGUCAGGAAGAUAUCUCUUGUGUUCUUCAGCUUGAGAUACAUAUAUUGCAGUCGUCAAUCAUUGUACUA